UAGCUCAAUGGCAGAGCACUUGCUUAGCAUGCAGGAGGCCUUGGGAUUCAAUCCCAA
rnacentral:tRNA from 1 species